rnacentral:lncRNA from 1 species
CACUCACUCUCCACUCAUUCGUUACCCUCACUCACUCACCUCUCUUCUCUCUCACUUCUCUAGAAAAGAAAACAGGAAAAGAAAAGCUGUUUAGCUUUUCCUCUCUGCCGCGACUCUCCAUCUACACCAAUCACCGCUCCAUCUCAUCCUCCACACAAAACCUCUACCACAAACCCUUCUGAACACCACCAUUUCCAUCACCACACGAAACCACCACUCUCACCCUUCACACCGCACCACCGUCCUCACAACCACAACCUCCAUCAUCACAAACACCAGCCGCCGUCGUCCACUUCUCCACCAACCCUUACCGCCUUUCCUUCUCCGCCGUUUAUCUCCACCUUCACUCAACAACAACCACAAAGCCACCGCGCUUCCGUUCACCUUCACCAUCAAUCGUCUCCAUCACCGAAUCCACCCUCUUCGACUCACACACAUCAACGCACCGCAAAAACAACGGCGCCUCCGUCCAACAAUCGAUCUCCACCGUGCAUACCGUUUCCGUCAAUAACUCACCAUCGUUCCGACGACGCAUCCACCAACAACAACCACGCUCAAACCUUCACCGAUACUCCGACAACUUCCGAAGAACCCUCAACGACCCAAAUCCAUCGUCAACAUCAACAUCCUCCGGUGAAUCCACCUGGAACCGCUGCAUACCGCCGUCAAAAUGUCCAACUUCGAACGCGACAACUCUCCUU